rnacentral:rRNA from 1 species
UACGAAGGGGGGCUAGCGUUGUUCGGAGUUACUGGGCGUAAAGGGCGCGUAGGCGGCUCAUGAAGGCUGUGGUGAAAGUCCGGGGCUCAACCUCGGAUCGGCCGUGGCGACUCGUGGGCUGGAGCACUGUAGAGGCGGGUGGAAUUCCGGGUGUAGCGGUGGAAUGCGUAGAGAUCCGGAAGAACACCAGUGGCGAAGGCGGCCCGCUGGGCAGUGGCUGACGCUGAGGCGCGACAGCGUGGGGAGCAAACAGG